CCAAUAUUCAAAGUGAAACCUUUCUGAGUCGUUUUUCUCCUUUUACCAUGGAGAAACCGCACUACCAGUACACAAAUGGAGAACCCAGCAAAAUUUUCCAUUUAUUGAGAGCUAAAGAAAUCCAGAAAUGGCUGAUUUUGUCUGGACAUUUGCACUGCAAGAGAUUCUCAAGAAGACAUUGCACCUUGCAACCCAGCAAAUCCGUCUGGCCUGGGGUUUCAAGCAGGACCUCUCUAAACUUCUCGACUCACUACUCUUCUUCGAAGCCAUUCUUCGCGAUGUCGAUCGAACAAAAUCUGACCGAGAAUCGAUCAAUAUUUGGGUGACUAAGCUUCAGGAUUUAGUGCUCGAUGCCGAAGUUGUACUGGACGAGCUCUCCUACGAGAACCUUAGGCGAGAAAUGGACGUCAAUGGAAAUUCUAAGGAAAGGGUACGUGAUUUCUUUUCGUUAUCGAAUCCCUUGAUGUUUAGGUUGAAAAUGGCGCGUAAAAUUAGAACCAUCACCCAAGUUUUGAAUGAGAUUAAAGGCGAGGCUAGUGCUGUUGGGGUUAUUCAUAAAGGGGGGAAUAAUGAAAUAGUGGCUGAUAAUGGCCAAAUUCCAGAGACUGACUCAUUUCUUGAUGAAUUCGAAGUUGUAGGAAGAAGGGCUGAUAUAUCCAGAAUAGUGAACAUUGUUGUUGAUAAUGCCACUCAUGAAAGGAUUACUGUGAUUCCUAUUGUGGGAAUGGGUGGUCUUGGAAAGACCACUUUGGCAAAAGCAGUCUUCAACCAUGAGCCUGUGAAAGCGCAUUUUGAUGAAACUAUCUGGGUGUGUGUGACUGCAACUUUUGAUGAAAAGAAGAUUUUAAGAGCAAUUUUGGAAUCUCUAACAAAUUUUCCAAGUGGUUUGGAUAGUCAGGAUGCUAUACUUAGAAGGCUACAAAAGGAGCUGGAAGGGAAAAGGUACUUUCUUGUGCUGGAUGAUGUGUGGAAUGAAAAUGUUAAACUGUGGAACAAUUUCAAGAGUCUUCUGCUAAAGAUUACAAAUAGUAUUGGGAAUAGAGUUCUUGUGACAACUAGAAGUGAGGAAGCUGGAAAAAUCAUGGAAACAUUUCCCAGUUAUCAUUUAGAAAAGCUAUCAGAUGAUGAAUGCUGGUCAAUAUUCAAGGAAAGAGCAUCAGCAAAUGGAUUACCACUGACCCCAGAAUUGGAAGUUAUUAAGAAUGUGCUUGCAGAGCAGUUUGGAGGCAUUCCAUUGGUUGCGAAAGUUCUGGGAGGGGCUGUACAAUUUAAGAAAAGAACAGAGACUUGGUUGAUGUCAACAUUGGAAACCCUUAUAAUGAAUCCACUUCAAAAUGAAAAUGACGUUUCAUCUAUUUUGAGAUUAAGCGUGGAUCAUCUGCCAAACUCAUCAUUGAAACAAUGCUUUGCCUACUUUUCUAAUUUUCCCAAGGGUUUUAACUUUGAAAAGGAACAACUAAUCCAAUUUUGGAUGGCAGAAGGGUUCAUUCAACCUUCUGAUAAAGUAAGCCCUGAAACCAUGGAAGAUAUAGGAGAUAAAUACUUCAAUAUCUUGCUGGCCCGUUCCUUAUUUCAAGAUAUUGUCAAAGAUGAGAAUGGUAAAAUUACACACUGUAAGAUGCAUCAUCUUCUACAUGAUCUUGCUUAUUCUGUUUCAAAACGUGAAGCAUUGGGUUCUAAUCUUAAUGGUCUAGUUGAUGAUGUUCCUCAAAUUCGACAAUUAUCCCUGGUUGGCUGCGAGCAAAAUGUAACGUUGCCUCCUAGAAGGAGCAUGGAGAAGUUGCGUUCUCUAUUUUUGGAUAGAGAUGUGUUUGGCCACAAGAUUUUAGGUUUCAAGCGCUUGCGUGUUCUGAACAUGUCCCAAUGUGAAAUACAUAACUUACCAACUUCAAUCGGAAGGUUAAAGCAUCUAAGGUAUAUUGAUGUCUCAAAUAAUAUGAUAAAGAAACUUCCAAAAUCUAUUGUUAAGCUUUAUAAAUUGCAGACCCUGAGGCUGGGUUGUUUUCGGGGAGAAGCCCCCAAAAAAUUCAUAAAAUUGAUCAGCUUGAGACAUUUCUAUAUGAAUGUUAAAAGACCAACAACUAGGCACAUGCCUUCGUAUUUAGGCAGGUUGGUUGAUCUUCAAUCCUUGCCUUUUUUUGUUGUUGGGACAAAGAAGGGUUUCCAUAUAGAAGAGCUUGGAUACUUGAGGAAUCUCAGAGGUAAAUUAAAGCUUUACAAUCUUGAAUUAGUAAGAAAUAAGGAGGAAGCCAUGAGGGCAGAUUUGGUGAAAAAGGAUAGGGUGUACAAAUUGAAACUGGUAUGGAGUGAAAAAAGAGAAAAUAAUAAUAACCAUGACAUUUCUGUUUUAGAAGGACUUCAACCACACAACAAUCUUCAAUACUUGACAGUUAAAGACUUUAUGGGAGAACUUUUUCCAAAUCUUACUUUUGUUGAAAAUUUGGUACAAAUUUCUCUAAAAAAUUGUAGCAGAUGUCGAAGAAUUCCAACAUUUGGACAUUUACCUAAUCUUAAGGUUCUUGAGAUUUCUGGAUUGCACAACCUAAAAUGUAUAGGAACGGAAUUUUAUGGAAACGAAUAUGAAGAAGGAAGUUUGUUUCCAAAAUUGAAAAGAUUUCAUCUUUUGGACAUGAAGAAUCUUGGACGUUGGGAAGAAGCAGCAGUGCCAACAGAAGUUGCAGUUUUUCCUUGUCUUGAAGAGUUGAAAAUUUUCGACUGUCCUAGACUAGAAAUUGCACCUGAUUACUUCUCGGCUCUUAGGACAUUAGAAAUUGAUGAUGUCAACAACCCAAUUUCACAGAUCACUCUUCAGACAUUUAAACUACUUGGUAUUAUACACUCUGGCAACCUGAGUGGUUUGCCUGAGGAGUUACGUGGUAAUCUGUCAUCUCUUGAGGAGUUUAAGGUUUGGUAUUAUCUUCACUUGAAAACUUUUCCAACUAUUGAGUGGCUCACUGAUAUUUUGAAAUGCAAGAUCGGAUAUGACACAAAGUGGACAAAUAUUCAAUCUCAUGGGCUAGAAUCGUACACUUCUGUGAAUGAAUUGUCCAUUGUUGGGCACUCUGAUCUCACAUCAACCCCAGAUAUAAAAGCUUUAUGUAAUCUUUCGUCUUUAACAAUUAGUGGCUUGAAGAAAUUGCCAAAAGGAUUUCACUGCCUCACUUGCUUGAAAAGUUUGUCAAUUGGUGGAUUCAUGGAGGGGUUUGAUUUUAGGGCUCUUUUGCAUCUCAAGUCUCUUGAAAAUCUUGCAAUGAUAGAUUUUGGUAGUGCAGAAAGCACUCUUCCUGAUGAGCUUCAACACCUAACUGGCUUAAAGCACUUGAAAAUUGUUGGAUUUCAGGGCAUUGAAUCUCUGCCAGAGUGGUUAGGAAAUCUUAACUCAUUGGUAAGUUUGCAUAUAGAGAGUUGCAGAAAAUUGAGAGAGCUUCCAGAAGCCAUGGGUUGCCUCGCCAAAUUGGAGGAACUGCGGAGUUUUAAUUGCCAAGAGUUGAGGGUUUACCAAGACGAAUCAGAAUGGGCCAAAAUUUCUUACAUUCCAAGAUUCAUAUCAUUCAAUUAUUGGGUUGAUGAGGACCAACAGAGGAUUCAGUUCAAAGUCUGCCACAAACCUAGCUAAUGACCAAUUGUAAUGAAUGAAGCAUGGACAACAGUACAUUUUGAACUGGUUAACUGAACCAACUAAGCGCUCUCAUCAGAUGAAUUCUGUUGCUGCUGAGGUCCUUGGUAAAUUCACGCGUGCUUUUUGUAAUGAACACUUGGCUACGUGUACUCAUCUUAAAGGAAUGGAGCACUUAUAUGUGAAGAGCGUGCAGUCAUCCUGAGGCAAUAGGAAUAGAGCCGUGGCUUAUUCAGUGAACAAUCCAUUCACUUUCAGGUAUAAAACAUGGCAUGGGACAUCUAUUGGCGGCAGGAAUUUGACAUUUGAGCAAGAGGUCAGACCAAUCUAAUUCAUACUAGUCUAAUAAGAAUGAAUCUUCUUGAAUGAAUUGAUCUAUUGUUGUAUGUCCUAUUCGAGCAAGAGGUCAGAUCAAUCUUAGAAAGACACAUACGUAGGAAGACAUUUAUCUUCUCAAUAGUAAUACAACCUGAGAUACAGGCAUUACUAUUGGCUUGCUGAUGUUAUUUAUAAAUAUAGCUUUAGUCCUAAUGAUUGUUGCAUAGUACAAUAAAGAAGCUGACCAUUCUUUAA